rnacentral:rRNA from 1 species
GACGAACGCUGGCGGCGUGCUUAACACAUGCAAGUCGAACGGAAAGGCCCCCACUUUUUUGGUGGGGGUGCUCGAGUGGCGAACGGGUGAGUAACACGUGGGUGAUCUGCCCUGUACUUCGGGAUAAGCUUGGGAAACUGGGUCUAAUACCGGAUAGGACCAUGGUUUAGUGUCUCAUGGUGGAAAAAUUAUUGUUUUGGUGCAGGAUGAGCUCGCGGCCUAUCAGCUUGUUGGUGGGGUAAUGGCCUACCAAGGCGUCGACGGGUAGCCGGCCUGAGAGGGUGGACGGCAACAUUGGGACUGAGAUACGGCGCAGACUCCUAAGGGAGGCAGCAGUGGGGAAUAUGGCACAAGGGGCGCAAGCCUGAUGCAGCGACGCCGCGUGGGGGAUGACGGCCUUCGGGUUGUAAACUCCUUUCGUUAGGGACGAAGCCGCACCUUUUUUGGGUGUGGUGACGGUACCUUUGUUAAGAAGCACCGGCUAACUACGUG